AAAGGAGGCUUGUUAUUAUCCAUCGAAUUCGAAUUUCCAUUUUCGGGUUUGACAUCUUCUUUAUCUUCGUUGAAGAAAAUAUACUGAGCAGGUUGUGUUAAGAUCGAAAACCCGGGGAGAAGACUGAUAAUAGUCCAAGCUUCCAUCUCUCAUUGAAUAGCUUCUUCACAUAACUUGAAUCCUCGAAUUUUUCGUCUUCAUUGGCUGGAGCAUUUUGAUCUUCAGGGGCUUCAGUCAUUUCUGAUUGUAGUUUUGAUGUGGGCACAAUAAUUUGGUACAGAGAAUCUAGCAAGUGUGCACAAUCACUAACUUGGAUACUGCAGGGGAAGCUCUCAAUCAUCUUCAAUGGAGAAAUCUCUUUGCAUAAACCCAUUAACAUGGAAUGCAGUAAAUCGUCGGCUGCAUCCAACGACGAAUACUGGACUUCCAAGAUCUUCCUCAAUAGGAACAGAGGAAUUUGAUUCUCAAGCAUCACAAUAUCUCUAAGGAGAGCAUUAUGAGCUGAUUUCCUUCCAGAAUAGUCCACCAAAUGUGACAUUGUAGAGAGGAUUGGUAGUCUGAGGACUUUGUCUUCUUUGAUGGCAUAAACAUAGAGGAAUUCAAGCAAGAAGCAAGCAUCCACUGCAACCAUCCAAGCUAGUGUUUCACCAUUGAAAUCAAGGUACUUAUGGAAGCAAGCCCUGAUCCUGGGCUCAUGUUUCAUCAAUUGAUCUACAAGGUUCUCAAAUUUGAGGUUUUGUAGUUGUUUUUGAGUCCUCUUGGCAGCAGCAACCUUGUAUCUUUCCAUCUCAUAGAGCUCUGGCCGACGGUAAUGGUAUGGGCCAAUAGCAACUUCUUGAGGAAGGUAGCAAUCUGGUUUGCUAGCUACUAGAGUUUUGGGGACAUUGAAGAUGCAGACUGGUACCCCGGUAUCGUCUUCGAGCUCUUCGUCGAGUGUUCGACGGAUUUGAAUGACCCAACGGAGCUGAUCAAAACUGGGAUUUGAAUUUGAGGUCAUUGUUGCAAUCUGGGAAGAAUACAUGUUUGUUUUUCUGAGAUGAGGACUCAGGAAGAGGACACUCUUAUGUUUGGUUUAAUUCAGUGUUGUAUUAUUGUUAUAAAGUGUGCGUUUUUCACUAUGCCAUAACUUUAGCGUUUCACACUUUCA